GUCGUCAGCUCGUGUCGUGAGAUGUUGGGUUAAGUCCCGCAACGAGCGCAACCCUCGCCAUUAGUUGCCAUCAUUAAGUUGGGCACUCUAGUGGGACUGCCGGUGAUAAGCCGGAGGAAGGUGGGGAGUGACGUCAAGUCAUCAUGGCCCUUACGGGCUGGGCUACACACGUGCUACAAUGGCGGUGACAGUGGGCAGCAACUCAGCAAUGGGGAGCUAAUCUCAAAAAGCCGUCUCAGUUCGGAUUGGGGUCUGCAACUCGACCCCAUGAAGUCGGAAUCGCUAGUAAUCGCGGAUCAGCACGCCGCGGUGAAUACGUUCCCGGGUCCUU
rnacentral:rRNA from 1 species